GACGAACGCUGGCGGCGUGCUUAACACAUGCAAGUCGAACGGAAAGGCCCUGCUUUUGUGGGGUGCUCGAGUGGCGAACGGGUGAGUAACACGUGAGUAACCUGCCCUUGACUUUCGGAUAACUUCAGGAAACUGGGGCUAAUACCGGAUAGGAGCUCCUGCUGCAUGGGGGGGGUUGGAAAGUUUCGGCGGUUGGGGAUGGACUCGCGGCUUAUCAGCUUGUUGGUGGGGUAGUGGCUUACCAAGGCUUUGACGGGUAGCCGGCCUGAGAGGGUGACCGGCCACAUUGGGACUGAGAUACGGACCAGACUCCUACGGGAGGCAGCAGUGGGGAAUAUUGCACAAUGGGCGGAAGCCUGAUGCAGCAACGCCGCGUGCGGGAUGACGGCCUUCGGGUUGUAAACCGCUUUCGCCUGUGACGAAGCGUGAGUGACGGUAAUGGGUAAAGAAGCACCGGCUAACUACGUG
rnacentral:rRNA from 1 species